CAGAAUUUCUUCUGUGAGUUUGGAGCGCUGCGACCCUUAAGCAAAGAAAAAAAAAAAUGGGGAAGUUUCUGGCAAGCAUUUUAGUGCUUGGCCUGUUGGGGCUGACGGCUGUGGUUGGACAAAAAGAAAAUUUCCCCGCAAACCCAGACGGUGCUUUAUUCAGAACAACUCUCGGCGGGUCGGCGGUAGUGACCGGGUUCUCAACAAACCAAGCCACGUCGCCGGAUGGCAAACCCUAUCCACCGGAGGUCAGGCAGCAUAGCCAAUUCCCCACAAAACAACCAUUGGGUGGUGAGGACUCUCAUCCACAGGACGGCGUCUCUGAGAUAGGAGGACAGGUCAAGCUG